rnacentral:piRNA from 1 species
GAAGUGAGGUAAUUCUGGGAACUGG